rnacentral:ribozyme from 11 species
AACAAAAAUGAUUGCAACAGGAAGUCAUCUGAAGAAGUCUACAUUUUGAUCUUUUUAUUUCAUUUUUUUUUUUGCUGCAUUGCUUCUCCUUCUGCUUCUGUGCCAGCAGCGUCUGAAAAAAAGCAUCGAAGAAGA